rnacentral:rRNA from 1 species
GAUGAACGCUGGCGGCGUGCUUAACACAUGCAAGUCGAACGAGAAGUGAAGACGGAAACCUUCGGGCGGAAGGCUUUAUUUCGAGUGGCGGACGGGUGAGUAACGCGUGGGUAACCUGCCUCAUACAGGGGGAUAACAGUUGGAAACGACUGUUAAUACCGCAUAAGACCACAGCACCGCAUGGUGCGGGGGUAAAAACUCCGGUGGUAUGAGAUGGACCCGCGUUCGAUUAGCCAGUUGGCGGGGUAACGGCCCACCAAAGCGACGAUCGAUAGCCGAUCUGAGAGGAUGACCGGCCACAUUGGGGCUGAGACACGGCCCAAACUCCUACGGGAGGCAGCAGUGGGGAAUAUUGCACAAUGGGGGAAACCCUGAUGCAGCGACGCCGCGUGAGUGAAGAAGUAUUUCGGUAUGUAAAGCUCUAUCAGCAGGGAAGAAAAUGACGGUACCUGAGUAAGAAGCCCCGGCUAACUACGUG